GUGUAUGUAUGUACAUAUACAUAUAUAUAUACAUACAUAUAUAUAUAUACAUAUAUACCAAAAAGAAAUGAAAACAUACACAUUUAAGAAAUAUUUGUGCAUAAAUAUUCAUAGCCAAUAUGGUAGUGACACAUGCCUAUAAUACCAGCACUUGGGAGGCAGAGGUAGUAGAAAGAUCAAAAGUUCAAGCCGUGGCUAUAUAGUAAGUUCUAGGCCAGCCUGGGCUACAUGAUAACUGAUUGAACAAACAAACAAACAAACAAACAAGCAGCAUUAGUCUUAAUAACCAAAGACACAAAGACAAAAAAAAAACUUGGAAACCACUCAAACAUCUGUCAAAGGAAGAAUGCAUCAAUAAAAUGUGUUAUUUCUAUAAAAGGAAUAAUUAAUUCCCAAUAAAAAGGAACGAAGCAUUGAUACAUGCUAUAACAUGGAUGGAUUAGGAAAACAUGCUUUUCGAGAAACAGUCAAUGAAGGAAGAGCUAGUGUAGCUCAGGAUUAGUAUGCUCAAGAACCUGCUCAAGAAAUAUCAGUCGAUGAAAACAGGGCACAUACUAUAAGACUUUCUACACGAGCUGCUCAAAAGAGUGAAAUUUGCAGAAGGGGAGAGGCUUUGUUAUUGCCAGGGCAGAAGCAAACUGACAGGAGCAGGGAGUGACGGCUAAUGGGUAUCAGCUUUGCUCAGGGAACAGUAAAAACAUCCUAGAAUUUAUUUUGGGAAUGGUUAAACAACUCCUUGUGAAUAUACUAAAAUUCACUCUGUAUAUUUUUUUAUAGAAAAGAAAGUUAAAGUGGAGUUAACCAAUAACCCAACAAUUCCAUCCCUAUGUAUGUCCUCAAGAUAGAUUUAAAAGUUUGUCUGAGGUCAGACACAGUGGCCCUCAGGAGACAGAGGCAGGUGGAUCCCUAUGAGAUGCCAGCCUGGUCUACAUACUGAAUUCUGGGGGAGCCAAAAAUAGAAAGACCUUUUCUCAAAACAAAAACAAAACCAGUUUGUUUGUAUGAAAACUUACAUAGAGACGCUCAGAGAAUAAUACUUAAAACAGCCAACACUAGAAAAUUGAUGAACAGGACAAAAUGUGGUAUAUCCAUGCAACUGAAUAUUACUCAGCAAUAAAAAGAAUGAAGUACUGAUUAACAUGCUAUAUGAUUUUAUGCUAAGUGAAAGACAUCAGUCACCAAAAGUGACUAUUUUUAUUAGUAUCUAAAUCACUUAUUAUUUUCUCUAGAGAUAGAUGGGAAUGGGGGGUGGGCACUAAUGGGUUAUGGCACUUCUCUUUGGGGUGAUAAAAUAUUCUGAGACGAGGCAGUGGGGAUGCCUACACAACUCUGAAUAUAUGAAAUCCAUUGACAUGUACAGUUUUAAAUACAAUAUGUGAGUUAUAUUUCAAUUAUGUAAAUCCCCCCAAAUCAACUCAGAAUCAAACAUCUAAUAAAAAGAAGGCUAAAGCCCAACGUGUGAAUAUAAAACACAAAGGGCAUGUAUAAAACUAACUCAUCUAGAAAUGAAAGCCAGAUGCUGAAGAAGGAAGUAGCUCGGGCGUAUCACUGGGCUACUGUCAUAUUAGAAGUAUGUAACAUCAGUUUUCAGGUGACUUGAGCCAAGAUAUGAAAGCUAUGCUGAUAAGGUUUACACACAGUAACAUCUGCAAGGGGCAGCGGGCACAUGGAACAAUGAACUGGAUUUGUUUGUUUGUUUGUUUGUUUUUCGAGACAGGGUUCCUCUGUAUAGCCUUGGCUGUCCUGGAACUCACUUUGUAGACCAGGCUGGCCUCGAACUCAGAAAUCCACCUGCCUCUGCCUCCCAAUGCUGGGACUAAAGGUGUGUACCACCACACCUGGUUGAACUGGAAUAUUUUAAUUAUAAGUCACUAGAGAUAAAUUAAAGCUAGAAUUUACUGGACCAGAUGAAAACCAACUGAAGGAGAGAUUCUAAUUUCACACUUGAAUUUGUGAAUCAGUGCAAGGAAAAGGAAUCAUUUUUUCACUAUUUCUGAAAGUAAUCUCAAAUUUGAACUGUAGACACUUAGAAGAUGAAGUGAAAUAGUCCCUUCAAAAUACCAACAGUAGCAACAAAAAAAGCAUGUGUGUUUUUGCCGAAGAGUUAGUUAUGACCGCAAUUGGCUUACCCUCUCUCAGUCGAUCUCCCUCAGCCUUGGUUUUCUUCUGUCUUUCUGAUCCAGCGAGGUCUACAAGAUGCAGCUUGGAACGAAAGCUGCUAUUUCUGUGAUAAUAACAGGAAGACACGGUGAAAACAAUAGAUAAGCUUAAAAGUAGCUGAGCUAUCAGAGCUGACUGGCUCAGUUCUCAUGUCUUUUAAAAGACAGUCAAAGUAGCUCCGGGGGUCAUUAAUGCUCAUAACUCUAAAGUCUGAAUGUCAAAUCAACCUGGGCAGCCACCUGGCAGGCGGCUGAACACAGAACACAGACAGUUAGGACGCUCUGACUUACUUGUCAUUCUUCUUCCUUUGCUCAAUGGAGAUUGUAAAGAUGGCAUGAGAUCGAGAUGACUGGGAGUUCAUAGCUGUGGAGGCCACAGUCCUGGAGUUGUUACCCUGCUCUAGACAGGAAACGGUGUCCGAGGCCACCAGCACAGUCUUCUCUGUCAGUCCCACAAUCUAAUUUGCAAGAGGGGGAAAAAGGCUUCCUUGAGUCCUUCUUCUAAUACUUGAAUAAAAAUACAGGGAUUAGCAAGUGGAAAAUGCUUUCCUAUUCCAGGAAAAUAUCAGUGUGCACAAGGGUUAAGAAAGGAAGGCUUUAAAACCAGGAAGUCUAGGAUGCUUGGAGGAGCAAGGGCUCCAGCCUUCCCUACAAAGUUGAGAAAGGGGGUACUAGAUAAUACAGGAGUCAGAGAAAGUCUCUAGAUCUUGGAGGGUAGCUGGCUUUUAGGGAGUCCCAAGUCCAAGUCAACUUUGGCCUCAAAAGAGAUCAAGUACAACACAAAUCUCUACAGCAUCUCUCUCUGCUCCACAGGCCUUUCUGUCGCAGCGAUCCAUUUUCUACUCCAUUUUCUUUGACAGGAAACACCAUGGCAGUUUUUACUGGCCUAGGAAGCC
rnacentral:lncRNA from 1 species